rnacentral:rRNA from 1 species
AUUGAACGCUGGCGGCAUGCUUUACACAUGCAAGUCGAACGGCAGCGCGGGCUUCGGCCUGGCGGCGAGUGGCGAACGGGUGAGUAAUACAUCGGAACGUGCCCAGUAGUGGGGGAUAGCUCGGCGAAAGCCGGAUUAAUACCGCAUACGACCUGAGGGUGAAAGCGGGGGAUCUUCGGACCUCGCGCUAUUUGAGCGGCCGAUGGCGGAUUAGCUAGUUGGUGGGGUAAAGGCCUACCAAGGCGACGAUCUGUAGCUGGUCUGAGAGGACGACCAGCCACACUGGGACUGAGACACGGCCCAGACUCCUACGGGAGGCAGCAGUGGGGAAUUUUGGACAAUGGGCGAAAGCCUGAUCCAGCAAUGCCGCGUGUGUGAUGAAGGCCUUCGGGUUGUAAAGCACUUUUGGCGGGAACGAAAAGGACUGUGCCAAUACCACGGUUCGAUGACGGUACCCGCAGAAUAAGCACCGGCUAACUACGUG